UACGGGGGGAGCAAGCGUUGUUCGGAUUUACUGGGCGUAAAGGGCGCGUAGGCGGCCUGCUAAGUCGAACGUGAAAUCCCCGGGCUCAACCCGGGAACUGCGUCCGAUACUGACAGGCUUGAAUCCGGGAGAGGGAUGUGGAAUUCCAGGUGUAGCGGUGAAAUGCGUAGAUAUCUGGAGGAACACCGGUGGCGAAGGCGGCAUCCUGGACCGGUAUUGACGCUGAUGCGCGAAAGCCAGGGGAGCAAACGGG
rnacentral:rRNA from 1 species